rnacentral:rRNA from 1 species
GUCCUUUAGAAAAUAGAAUUUAAGGUCUAACCUGCCCACUGAAAUUUUAAAUGGCCGCAGUAAUUUGACUGUGCAAAGGUAGCAUAAUCAUUAGUUUUUUAAUUAAAAGCUUGUAUGAAUGGUUGGACGAAAUAAAAUCUGUCUCUAAAUAAAUAUUAGAAUUUAAUUUUUAAGUUAAAAAGCUUAAAUAUUAUUAAAAGACGAGAAGACCCUAUAGAUCUUUAUAAUAUUUUUUAUAGUUUUAUUUAGGAUUUAUUUAUUAAUUAUAUUAAAUAUUAUUUUAUUGGGGUAAUAAAAAGAUUAAAUUAAUUCUUUUUUUAAUUUAACAAAAAUAAUUGAUUAUAUGAUCCUUUUUUAUUGAUUAUAAGAUUAAGUUACCUUAGGGAUAACAGCGUAAUUUUUUUAGAGAGUUCAUAUCGAUAAAAAAGUUUGCGACCUCGAUGUUGGAUUAAAAAUUAUUUUGGGUGUAGAAGUUCAAAGUUUUGGUCUGUUCGACCAUUAAAUUUUUACA